GCGGAUUUCUGUCGGGCUACGUCACGAUUAUUAGGUGGGGACGCGUGAAUCGCUGUGAAUCAGUAGCGGGUAAUAAUCAGUGCAUUUAAUUUUCACUUAUUCCAUAAAUACAAUUCACGAAACCUUAAUUCGUAAAACAGCUAGGUAAAUGAGAACGGGAAUUAACAGCAAAGUACAACGAAGCACCGUUAUUUUAUUCGAAAAUAGACGAAGUGCAGCUAGUAACUGCACUGAAUUUCCAUCCCGCACGAGCCGUACCGAGUUUGGCCUUGCCUAGCCCGACAGAAAUCCGCUGUCUAGUCAUAAUGCGAACGACCACCCACGAAAACGGGUCACGAAAAACGGCGAGCUGUCUCUACUGAUUGUUAUCUCUACUGUGGUAUCAGGCCUAUGAAUCGUCGUCUGGAAACAGCUAACCACACACCAACCUUCAUUGCGUGUGAUGGUGUUUCUUCAAAAGCCCUAACAGAUGAAACCAGGCUUCAUCAGAAAAGAACGACAAAUCGAGAAUCCCGUUAUCGUCCAUAUCAGCUUGAAACCAACUACAAUACCCAACGCGGCAAGGAAAAUCAGCUGGUUGCAGCUCCUGAACCAACAAAAUCUUGUAUGGAUGCAUAUGUAACUUCUCUUUUACGAUUUUCUGACAUGGGCUGUAUGGUACUCCGGACAGUAAAGAUUUUUGACAAA